GUGAAUCAUCGAAUCUUUGAACGCAUAUUGCACUUCCUGGUAUUCCGGAGAGCAUUCCUGUUUGAGGGUAAUUAAAAAGAAUCUUUAACCAAUUUUUUUUUGGUCAAAGGAAAUGAGUUCUAUGUGUUUAUAGCGGUAGCCUGGUAUAAAUGGUCAAGUCUAAUUUUAGUCGAGACGUGUAAUAAUAUUAUUUCGCGAAAUCUUCAUUAUGUGACUAUUAAGUUUUGAUGCAUACUAAUAUGGUUUGUAUGCGUUCAAUACAAAUA
rnacentral:misc_RNA from 1 species